CAGACGGAAGCGAGCCCCUGGGAAGGCACGCAAGAAUUGUCUGGCUCUUUUCGUUUCGCAAGCGGCAUGACGUGGCGCCCCAACCACGCCGUG
rnacentral:ncRNA from 1 species